CCGCAAAUUGACACCGUAACUUCGGGAGAAGGUGUGCCUCUGGCGGUUAAUGACCUUGCGUCAUGAAGCUGUUGGAGGUCGCAGUGAAAUGGCGGUUGUGACUGUUUACUAAAAACACAGGACUCUGCGAACUCGUAAGAGGACGUAUAGGGUCUGAUGCCUGCCCGGUGCUGGAAGGUUAAGGGAAUUUGUCAGGGGCAACCCGAAGCAAUGAACCGAAGCCCCAGUAAACGGCGGCCGUAACAAUAACGGUCCUAAGGUAGCGAAAUUCCUUGUCGGGUAAGUUCCGACCUGCACGAAGGGCAUAACAACAUCCGCACUGUCUCGACCAGGGACUCAGCGAAAUUUCAUUGGGGGUGAAGAUGCCCUCUACCCGCGGCAAGACGGAAAGACCCCAUGAACCUUCACUGCAACUUGGCAGUGAAAUUCGGGUUGAUCUGCGUAGGAUAGGUGGGAGGCUUUGAAGUCGGGUUUCCGGAUUCGACUGAGCCAACGUUGAAAUACCACCCUGAUUAAUCUGGAUUUCUAACCUACAUCCGUAAUCCGGAUGAGGGACACUGCCUGGUGGGCAGUUUGACUGGGGCGGUCGCCUCCUAAAUUGUAACGGAGGCGUGCGAAGGUUCCCUCAGGCUGAUUGGAAACCAGCCGGAGAGUGCAAACGCAUAAGGGAGCUUUACUGUGAGACUGACAAGUCGAGCAGUUGCGAAAGCAGGUGUUAGUGAUCCGGUGGUACCGAGUGGAAGGGCCAUCGCUCAUCGGAUAAAAGGUACUCUGGGGAUAACAGGCUGAUCGCGCCUGAGAGUUCACAUCGGCGGCGCGGUUUGGCACCUCGAUGUCGGCUCAUCGCAUCCUGGGGCUGGAGCAGGUCCCAAGGGUUUGGCUGUUCGCCAAUUAAAGCGGUACGCGAGCUGGGUUUAAAACGUCGUGAGACAGUUUGGUCCCUAUCUGCCGUGGGCGCAGGAUACUUGAGAGGAGCUACCCAUAGUACGAGAGGACCUGGGUGGACGAACCUCUGGUGCUCCGGUUGUCACGCCAGUGGCAUAGCCGGGUAGCUAUGUUCGGAACAGAUAACCGCUGAAAGCAUAUAAGCGGGAAGCUGGCCUCAAGACUAGGUAUCCCUGACGUAAGUCGCUAAAGGUCCCACGUAGACUACGUGGUUGAUAGGCUGGAUGUGGAAGCGUAGCGAUACGCGGAGCUAACCAGUACUAAUAGACCGUGCGGCUUGACUC
rnacentral:rRNA from 1 species